AUGCAAGUCGAACGAACCUUCGGGUUAGUGGCGGACGGGUGAGUAACGCGUGAGAAUCUGCCCUCAGGAGGGGGAUAACGGUUGGAAACGACCGCUAAUACCCCAUAUGCCGCGAGGUGAAAUGAAUUUCGCCUGAGGAUGAGCUCGCGUCUGAUUAGCUAGUUGGUGUAGGUAAUGGCUCACCAAGGCAUCGAUCAGUAGCUGGUCUGAGAGGAUGAUCAGCCACACUGGGACUGAGACACGGCCCAGACUCCUACGGGAGGCAGCAGUGGGGAAUUUUCCGCAAUGGGCGAAAGCCUGACGGAGCAACGCCGCGUGAGGGAUGAAGGCCUCUGGGCUGUAAACCUCUUUUAUCAAGGAAGAAGAUCUGACGGUACUUGAUGAAUAAGCCACGGCUAAUUCCGUGCCAGCAGCCGCGGUAAUACGGGAGUGGCAAGCGUUAUCCGGAAUUAUUGGGCGUAAAGCGUCCGCAGGCGGCCCUUCAAGUCUGCUGUUAAAGCGUGGAGCUUAACUCCAUCAUGGCAGUGGAAACUGUUGGGCUUGAGUGUGGUAGGGGCAGAGGGAAUUCCCGGUGUAGCGGUGAAAUGCGUAGAUAUCGGGAAGAACACCAGUGGCGAAGGCGCUCUGCUGGGCCAUCACUGACGCUCAUGGACGAAAGCCAGGGGAGCGAAAGGGAUUAGAUACCCCUGUAGUCCUGGCCGUAAACGAUGAACACUAGGUGUCGGGGGAAUCGACCCCCUCGGUGUCGUAGCCAACGCGUUAAGUGUUCCGCCUGGGGAGUACGCACGCAAGUGUGAAACUCAAAGGAAUUGACGGGGGCCCGCACAAGCGGUGGAGUAUGUGGUUUAAUUCGAUGCAACGCGAAGAACCUUACCAGGGUUUGACAUCCUGCGAAUCUCUUGGAAACGAGAGAGUGCCUUCGGGAACGCAGUGACAGGUGGUGCAUGGCUGUCGUCAGCUCGUGUCGUGAGAUGUUGGGUUAAGUCCCGCAACGAGCGCAACCCACGUCUUUAGUUGCCAGCAUUCAGUUGGGCACUCUAGAGAGACCGCCGGUGAUAAACCGGAGGAAGGUGUGGAUGACGUCAAGUCAUCAUGCCCCUUACAUCCUGGGCUACACACGUACUACAAUGCUACGGACAAAGGGCAGCAAGUUCGCGAGGACAAGCAAAUCCCAUAAACCGUGGCUCAGUUCAGAUCGUAGGCUGCAACUCGCCUACGUGAAGGAGGAAUCGCUAGUAAUCGCAGGUCAGCAUACUGCGGUGAAUACGUUCCCGGGCCUUGUACACACCGCCCGUCACACCAUGGAAGUUGGCCACGCCCGAAGCCGUUACUCCAACCCUUGUGGAGG
rnacentral:rRNA from 1 species